AUGAAGUGUGGGCUUCUCUUCUGUAUUUUCCUAUGUCUCAUGGAGACAGCCUUCAUGAACACUAAAAUUACCCAGACACCAAGAUAUCUGGUCAUGGGAAGAGCAAAUAAUAAGUCUUUGGAUUGUGAACAACAUCUGGGAAAUAAUGCUAUGUACUGGUAUCAACAGAAAACUGGGAACCCCCCAGAGCUCAUGUUUCUCUACAGCCUUAAAAACCUGAUUCGAAAUGAGACUGUACCCAUUCGUUUCUUACCUGAAUGCCCAGACACCUCCAAGUUACUCCUUCACCUGUCUGGCCUGGAGCCAGAAGACUCAGCUGUGUAUUGGUGUGCGAGCAGCAAGGACACAGCCCUGCAGAUUCAUCAGCUGUCUGUACACAAACCUGCAAGUUCAGGAAGCUGUGGGACAACUGAGGGCUUCACUGAACAUUUCCUGGAGGACCCAAGACAGAUGCUGCAAACCCUAACAGUGCCUUCCAACUCAACCCAUGUAGCACCUCUAUCUUCCAUGGUCGUUUUAGAAGUGGUGCUUCCUUCAUUGUGCAGGGCUCUCCUGCCAACUGAUGAGAGGAUAAAUAUUUCUGGGUUUUAA